rnacentral:tRNA from 1 species
GCCGGAGUGGCGGAACUGGCAGACGCGCACGACUCAAAAUCGUGUGGGCCUCGCCCAUGUGGGUUCGAGUCCCACCUCCGGCACCA